rnacentral:rRNA from 1 species
UACGUAGGGGGCAAGCGUUGUCCGGAAUCAUUGGGCGUAAAGCGCGUGUAGGCGGUCCGGUAAGUCCGCUGUGAAAAGUCGGGGGGCUCAACCCUCGGAUGCCGGUGGAUACUGUCGGGCUUGAGUACGGAAGAGGCGAGUGGAAUUCCUGGUGUAGCGGUGAAAUGCGUAGAUAUCUGGAGGAACACCGGUGGCGAAGGCGGCAUCCUGGACCGGUAUUGACGCUGAUGCGCGAAAGCCAGGGGAGCAAACGGG